rnacentral:rRNA from 1 species
GAGUGAUUGGGGUGAGGUCGUAACAAGGUUUCCGUAGGUGAACCUGCAGAAGGAUCA